AUGGACCCCGCGUAUACUGCGGUUCUGAGCGCGCCGUCCGCGCCCACCUGACCGCUGCUCGCGACGUGUUGUUAGCC
rfam:Xanthomonas oryzae pv. oryzae KACC10331, complete genome.